AUGAGAAGCAUUGUGCGGUCUGGACGAACAACAUGCUUCUGGGAGGACCGAUGGAUCCAUGGACAAAGAAUACAAGAGUUGGCGCCGCGAGUCUAUGAGUUGGUGCACUCCCGCACUCGCAACCGGAGGAUGGUCAGUACGGCCAUGCAGGACGGCUCUUGGGCGAUGGACAUCAACCCCAACCUUGAACCGGAAACGUUGCAUCAGUUUCUAGCGCUAUGGCAACUGCUCAAUGGUUGGGAGCUUUCGGAUGAUGAGCCGGAUGAGAUAGCAUGA
rnacentral:rRNA from 1 species